rnacentral:rRNA from 1 species
CUGGUUGAUUCUGCCAGUAAUCAUAUGCUUGUCUCAAAGAUUAAGCCAUGCAUGUCUAAGUACAUGCCGAAAUAAGGCGAAACCGCGAAUGGCUCAUUAAAUCAGUUAUGGUUCCUUAGAUCGUUUCUUCCUACUUGGAUAACUGUGGCAAUUCUAGAGCUAAUACAUGCAGUGAGCCUGGAGCCCUUUGGGUAACGGGUGCUUUUAUUAGACCAAGAUCGAUCGGGUUUCGGCCCGUAUUGUGUGGUGACUCUGGAUAACUUUGUGCUGAUCGCAUGGCCACGAGCCGGCGACGUUUCUUUCAAGUGUCUGCCUUAUCAACUUUCGAUGGUAGGUUACUUGCUUACCAUGGUUGUUACGGGUAACGGAGAAUCAGGGUUCGAUUCCGGAGAAGGAGCCUGAGA